CUACGAACUUAACAUCAAGAAUCUGAAAGAGGAGCUUGAGAAACUGAAAGAUAAGAAAACUGUCGUGGACCGACAUGUAGCUGGCCCCACUGCUGGUUCAAUAAUUCAUUGGCAAGACGAAGUGGAAGGCAUCAGUAAAAAGGGCAAUGAAUUUUUUCAAAAUGAAAUGAACGUGAACAAGUGUUUCAACACGAACUAUCCAGAUCCAAUGUUACGUUAUUCCUUGAGCAAGAAAGC
rnacentral:misc_RNA from 1 species